ensembl:lncRNA
UCCACCUGUUUAGAUGCCCAAAUUUGGAAAAUGCCAGACCCGAGGAUACUCAAGUCAAUGUGAGGACUAGAUGGGAGAUGCUUGAGAAGCAGAUUGUAGCCACUGGUUUUUGUGAUGGUAAGAGGAAUUUAGAACAUUCUGUAAACAUUUUUAACAAGUAAAUGCUAUAUUAAGAUUGUUUGUUUAUUAUGUAUCACCAGGUACAACAAUGAACAAUCCUUUUAAAAGUUCUCUGACAUACACUGCCUUUACUCCAUGGCUGGGGCAGGACACCAGACUAAAUGAUGUGGUACCAAAGACAGAAAUGUUGAAAGGUCUGUCUCAGAAGGACCGUGCUGCCUCAUCAAGGGGUUGAAUGAAUGUAGAUGAAGAUGCCAUAUUGCAGGCACUGGAUUCAAAAGCACCCAGAAAAGAGAACCUGAUCAAAGCAUGCAAUGCUCUUGGGGUGUCCGAUAUUGGUAGUCGGACAGACUUAAUCAGUCGGUUGGAAGAGCUACUACUGUACAAGGACCUCUAUCCUAAAAUGUUUGUAAAGCUCCAGAAAACUGGUGGUGGAGUGCUACACAUGACCUGUAUACACUCUGUAGUGUAUUACCAGUCAGCAUUGUGGUGGCAGGAGUCAGCCCGCGAUCAUGGAGAUGCUCUUUUGAGUUUUAAACAUACGUGUACGUGUCAGACAUCGCUGGACGAGUUGCUAGGCAUGUCAACAACCGGACAAACCAGCAGUUUUUCCAGCCACAUGAUGGUCGUCUGUGUGCAAACACAGAAGAGAACAUUCAGGCUGCACUGGAAAAAAGUCUCCAUGUCCAGUUUCCGUGGGUGACCAGUGUUGGCUUGUCCUCAAGAUCAGCCUCCCACGAUCAGAUCCCAAGAUCUGUUAACAGGUUUUCCUCUAUGCACCCCGUGACAGGAACCAGUGCAAGGUUUUCUUUGUACGACAGGUUCCACCAGAAAAAUCAAAGAAGACCAGGGGAAUUACUGAGGAGUCUAAAACUGGUGCCAGAUUUGGCUGCUCUGGUUAAGUCAUCUGCAGCAGAGCAGAUAAACAGAGAACUAUCAUCAAGCAGGUACUCUUUGUGCCAGAUGAAUGAUCAGCAUUACAUGUUUACUCUGCGAUUAUAUUUUCAUCAUCACACCAACAACAUCAACGAAAAAUACACCAACAAAUUGAAGCAACUAGCCAAGCAAGCCUUGCAUGUUGACAUCUCUGGAAAGCUGAGAUUCGGCUCUCAAGCAGAGAGGAGUCAAAUUCCACCUGCAGAUGAAGAAGCGCAUUACACAGAAACAGAUUACUGUGAAUUUACAGUAACCAUGUUCCCCGUUUCUCCUGACAAUAAGGACAAACUCUUGGAGUUGUAUACUGGGCGAAGGAAUGAGCGGCAGAUAAUCACAUAUUUUGAUAACAACCCAGUUACAAUCAGAGACCUCAAGAGUAUCUGUCCACAGCAUCUUCUUGAUGCAGAAAUUGCACCAAAGCCAAGACUGCCUUGGCUUACUGAUGAUGUUGUCAACAGUCGAGUGGUUCAGAUUGCCUCACAGGGGCCAAAUACUGUUGCUCUGUCAACAAACACGUUCAUGAUAUGGCACAGGGAAUGGCAAGCCAACCGAAACAUUCCGGAUGAAGAAAUUGCACCUCUAGAAAACACUGAGAAAGUGCUGUGGCCACGAAUUGUUGGGGGCACUGUUGGUCCAGAAUGGGGAAAUCACUAUAUCCUUUGGGUUUUUGAUAUCCCUGGAAAAGAGCUUCGGGUUUAUGACUCCACAAGCUCUAAUUUCACAAUUGAAAGUGAUGACAUGGACAUGCUAAGAAACAUAUUUCGACACCAUGAUUCACUGAAUGGGUGGAAAGUGUCAUCUGCACAGACAUGGAAACAAAAUGACAGGGUCAAUUGCGGUGUGUUCGUUUGCACAAUGGCCGAGUUGGACAUGAGGGCUGCCAAAAUUGGAGAAGAAACUCUCCAUUAUGGACAGCUUUGCCAUUUACUUCUGUACCAUGCCUCAUGCCUGGUUAGGAAUCUGGCUUCUGAGGACUUCCCAUCAUGUGUAGAGACAAAAGAUGACCAAGGUCCUACAGCACAUUGCAUUGCUCGAGACAUCUGUGCUUGCAUUUUUCAGAAGUCAGGGAAAAGAGCCAUGCAUUCCCACAUUAAAAGAGUGGAGUGGAUCCAGUGUGAUUACUGUGAUGGUUGGUUACACAGCGACUGUGCAGGUGUUGAUGUAUCUGCACUGGACAAGGAUGCUCCAUUUAGCUGUGGAUGCCAUCUCCCUGUGCCUUACCCAUAUGAAAGUACACAUGAAGCAUUGCGGACGGGCCUGGUUGCAGACUUGAUUGAAGACCGGGAGAUUCUGGUAUGAGGAGUAAAUAUUUUUUAGUUAUAUUAUACAGAUUUAAUGUUAGAUUUUUCCAAAUUGUGUGGUAAAACAUGCAUUUAAAUGGAUCCACAGAAACUGCAAAAUGACCUUUUAGCUGGUACUGUGAGGUCACAUCGACUGUUCCUUUACAACAACCCUACUUUCAGUCUCAAAAUGAAAGCUAUGAAUGAACGACGGUUCUGCGUUUUCGGCGAAAAACAGGUAGUGUAACUAUAUUAUCCUUGUUACUGCAUGUUGCAAAUAUUCUUGCAUUUUAAUAAUAUGAACACUGCUAAUCCACUGUAUCGCAAAAUACUUAAUUCUUUGUUAAUCCCUAUGCUACUGUUAGUAUGUUGUUCUCUCUUAGGUGACCAAUCACAAAUGUAUAUAUUUUAUGUAUACAUUUUGGACCACCGCCCCUUUUUGAAAAAUAAUAUGUGUGUAGGCUUUCUGCUGUAGGAGAGGCACACAAUAUCCCAUUUAGUUAAU